GAAAUUGGUGUGUUCAAACUUUGUCUCCUGGAAUCGGUUUGGUAGAGUGUUGAGCAACAAUCGUAUUUUGCUUAAGGAAGCUCACUGCAUACAGUUGUUCCCAAGGCAUAACAGCAGAUGUUAUUUGAUGAACACACUGGAGACAAGACAUGAG